UGCUCGGGCUCUCUCUGUCUCAAAUAAAUAAAUAAAAUCUUAAAAAAAAAAAAAAAAGGAAUCAUAAGAGAAAAUCCAGAACCGUGUUGUAAAAAAUUCACCUGUAAGUGGGCCCACACAGUUCAAACCUGUGCUGUUCAAGGGUCAACUUUAAUUGCUUCUCAUUCUUCAAAUGCCAGUUUAAACAUUACAUUUUCAGGGAUGCUUUCCAGGACCUUCCAGAAUCUGUUAAGCUCUCCUUGCAAGUCUCCUGGCAUUUUUUUCUUCACUGCAACAGGUUCUCAUUGUGCUUGCAUGUUUGUGUUAGAUUGCUCUUUGUGGCUCUUGUUUGUUCAACUCAGUCUACCCCCUCAAAUGAGCCGAAGGAUCGCUUUUGUCUUAUUCACCACUCCAUCCCCAGUACCAGGCACAGUGCCUGGCCCAUAGUAGGUGCUCAGACACGUGGUGACUAAGUGAGGAAGCCACUUCGUGAACGCCUGCUGUUUGCUAUAUGCAGCACCCAGUGCUGGAGAGUUGGCUGAGUAUGAGAUGAACGUUGUCUAAGCUCACAGCCCUGAAAGGGCAAAACUUACAGUUUUGUGGGAUAAAUACUGUAACGGGGAAAGUAGACAGCUGGGGAUUUCAGAGCAGGCUUCCUGGAGGAGGAGGAGGAGGCCCAUGAGGUCAUGCUUUAAAGACCCUCAUGACCAUAGGCCUGUUCUGGGAGGGGGGCCAACUUGUGACAGCUUCUGGACUCAUGGUUCUCUUGGAUUUGCCUGUCACUGCACCUGGGGAGAUGUGGAAUCAGCUUGAAUUGCCAGUUUUAUGAGAUCACGGGUAAUCUCAAUUCUUUUUACUGAUCUGAUAGGCUUUGUGUGAGGUGAUGUUUUUUUUUACUUCCAGGGUUUCUCCAUAUAUGCUGAGGGCUACCUGGCUCCCUUUCAAUCAGCCCAAUCUCCUUGGUGAUUCUGGUCGAAGCUCAGAGCUUUGGCAAGUGAAAGGUGGCUUUUAUUUUUGUCGGCUCCCUCCUCAGUCCUCACUGUUGGCUCAGAACUGGAUGCUACUGACCCUCAGAGUGACUGUGUUUCAUUGUUUUGCACUUUACCAGCAAUGUUUCAUGGUCGAGAAAUCAUUCUAGGUUAGGAGCCAAAUCGUAGUGUAUCAACUCAGCCUUUCCCCAGAUAUUUCUAAUAACUUGGCUUAAAAAAGUGAUUUGGUUCUGCCCAGCUUUGCCCCUAAAUGGAAGGCACGAGUACUUGGCAGCUGUGCGGGUUAGGGUUAAGGUUAGGUGCCCCAUUGCCCGGCAGUGAGAAGCCUGGGGGUCUGGGCCCUGAGCCCAUCUCUCCCCAUGGAGUGAGUGGGGGUUGCUGGGGAGGGGGAAGGCCCCCUGUCGUAUCUCAUCACUCAAACAUCCACUGCUUUCUGACCUGGCUGGAACACCUGCUUGUCCAAACUGCACGUGGGAAGCAGCCAGCUUGUCUGAAGCUUAUGUGCCCCUGCCCUCCAGCACCUACAUCAUCCCACAACUCUUUGGAAGGGAGUCGGGGUUCUGCGGCCAGUCGCUAAGGUCUCACACAUCACCAUCACCACUAGAAAUUCAGCCCAUGGCAGUUCACUGCCCCUGCUUGCUAGCGCUUGAAGACCCACUUGAAACGCCCUAACUGGACCGUAACUAGGGGCAACCACACGUAGAGAUCUCUAAGUGGGGCCAGACAGGACCAUCAGGGUUGUCAGGCUGGAGGGCUCCAGCACAAUGUGUUGCAGAAAAGAAGACCCAGCUCCUGAGGCCGUCCUCGCCACGGGGUCCGAGGGUGCACGCAAGUGGCAGGGUAGCAGUCUGUGAGUUACUCCCGGGCAUCAGGACGGCGGCCAAGGACGGCCAUUCUAGUGGCCACAGUGCCCUUUUUGUUAGGGCUAAUAAAUCCCCUCUUGUUUCCGUGACGAGGAGGUGGGGUUAUUACGUUUCGAUAACCAAAAGAAAGUCGCCCGCACAAGAAAGGGGACAGAGUUCUGCUUUCUUCGACAGGAUGGACCGGAGAAGGUCUCUCAGGCCCCUCCAUCUUGGCCCCCUGAUGGCUGUACACAUCUGAGGGGGAUUUUCAUCAACGUAAUUGUUCAGAACUCCCAACGAGGGUUUGAGGCUGAACUUUCCACAGGCCACGGAAUCGACUCCGCAACUCUUCUCUCGCUGUUCUUGGGAGACACGUCUUGCCGGACCAGAACCACGGCAGAGACCUUCUGAGCAAGGGCAGUGUCCACGGCCGGUUCGCAUACAGGAACCUGAGGAGAGUAGGGCCUUGGCUCUGUCGGCAAUGGAGAGCCGACCCUGGCUUUCAGGAUAACUUGACCCGAAGGCCAUAGUACCUAAGGCUUCACCAGUACCAGUACCAGUACCAGUACCAGUACCAGAAGCUUGCCUGGUUCCCUCCCCAGCAUACCGUCCUUUCCUGCCUAUGAGCCCUUGGACCCCUUGGAAGUCUGUGCGGCCUGGAAUACACGCCUCUCCACUGUGAGACCUUCACAGCUGAUCACUGUGGUGGGCAUAGCCGCCAGGGUGGUCCCUAGUCCCUCCAGCAGCUCCCCCCCAACCCCUCCACAUAACCCAGGCACCUCUGUUUCACCCAGCCCCAAAGAGCCCCCAGGAGCCCCCGGCAGCUUGUCCUGCCUGUAUCUUGCAUGUUCCCUAUGGUACCAGGCCUCCUGUCCUGGCUACAGGGGAAGGGGCCUGGACUCCUGGGGUCCAGCCCCCCCCAUCAGGGAUCUUCCAGAAUGCUGGCUGGCCCCAGCCCCGCAGAACAAUGAAAAGCAACCUGGGAUCUUAGAGGUGUGGGUGGACAGAAGCAGAUGGCUCUUCCUGGCAAGGGCCUCUUGGCCACAGCAUGACCAUUUCCAGCCAGUGAAGAAAGGAGACCAGGAUGCUCAGAUGCUUACACACAGGGGAAAGGGAGGGGUGGGGAGUGACUUCCUCAGGGAAGCAGUCUGGAGACUGGGGGAGAAGUUUCCCCUUCAGCACAUGACUCAUGCCGCCCUCUCCCCCUUUCCUGCUUGGGCCACGCCACUCAAGCUAGACUAGACUGGCCUCGCCCCAGCCUCUCUCCAUGCCCAGCAGACAGCCGGUUGCUCCGUGUCCAGAACGUCUGGCCAGCCCUCUCUAGACUAGCUCCCCAAUCCUGUGGAUUCUGGAAUGCAGCUACCCUUCCUGGGGCUCCUGGUCCAUAUUGCAGCAUUCACACUCUGCCCAGGGGAGACCAGUAAAGUAGAGGAGAAAAGGUACUCUCUCCAAACCAACCUCAUUGCCCCCUGCCCCACCCUCCAAAACUUGGCUCGGAUAAUCCCUUCCCUGAAGGCUCUUCUUUCAGACAUGCCCGCUAAAACUAACAUGUAAAAGCCCAGCCUGGGAGCCCUGGCUUCUACUGCCACGAAGAACGCAUAAGCCAACAGUAAUAACCUUGGCUGUUUAAGAAAUUAGUUCUCUCAUUCCUCAUGAGCCCCUCUGUGUGGAUGUCUGUAUUCUGCAGCUUUUCAUGUUAGGAAUGUGACUCUGCUUUUCUUUUUUUCCUCAGCAAAGAGAGGCAUCUCAUACCAAGGUCAAAGUGCAUCUCUGACCCAUCUCCCUAACGCAGAGCUCUUCUGUCACUGAGGAACUCCUGAAAUUUUGUUCUCACUUCCCACGGUGAUGACCUCCAAGGCUCUCAUUCCUUCCAUGGGAUCUGGCUCCCACCAACUGUGCCUCUAACCAGAUACACAGGGGGUCAGGUGGAUUCAGGAAGAGACCCUGUUCCCGGCCUGUGCCUUCUUGGCCUCCUAAGUGGCAAAUUGAGGUGCUGGUCUGGUGGUCUCUGGGAUGCUAUCCUAUCCCUUUGUGCGUGUUAAGGGUCCAAUCACAGACCUCUCUGCAGAGCUGAAGGAUCACAGCUUCUGUCCCUGAAAACGUGGGGACCCCAGGAGGGCCUUGUCUCCAUCUCUAGACCCUGUGGGCUCCAUCCUCUUUUCUUGGCACUCCUGUGCACGGGAGCUUGGAAUGAAGAGGUGACAUGACAUGACCAAUGUCUCAGACCUGUCUGUGGGUACGUGGAUGUUUUUUCCCUCCUUCUCCAUAUAUAUGUGUAUUUGAUGAAGGAAACCAAAUCCUUCAAACCUCUAGGAGGUAGGUAUGAUAGCCAUAGAAGUACUUGCAAAGCAGAGUUGAGAUGUGCACAGUACAAAAUGUCCUCAAGUAAGCUUGAGAAGUCCAAGAUGGCCUGGCACUCAGAGCACCACAGAAGGGCCCCAAGGUUGACAACAUUCACACCGAGCCCAAAUAUGACCCAAACCGAAUAUAACACUACGUUGAUUAUACUUCAAUGAAAAGAAACCAAAGACAAGAAAAAAGAACCACAUACAUGGCAGAAUGGGUCUCUAGAACCUCCUGGUCCUGAAUGGAAGUCUAUAGAAGGGGCCCAGAUAGAGCUGGGCACAAGGAGUUUCCAGCACAUCACUUUGGGACCAUGAGGCUUGGAGUGAAGAGAACAGCAGUGGUUAAGCACGUGCAUCAGAGCCUGCCACGUGUGGAAGGAGCCUCCUAAAGUCUCAGGCAGUGUUUACCACGUGCUUCUGACACAGCCACUAGAGGCACCUGGGGCCUGUGUUAGGAGCUAGGAGGACCUCCAAAUGGUGGACAGGUGUGUCCUGAAACUGCAGGAACCACAGUUGGCCCACAUAGAAGCCUCCACAGAUGCGGUCUUCAGGAACUUCCCAGCACUGAGUGUUACCACUACAAUGGUUUGUCCCAGAGAGGAGAAAUCCAGGAUUCCCUUCUCUUCCUGACCCUCCAUAUCCAUUUCAUCACUGACUUGCAUUGGCUUUACUCCCUGAUGUCACCACCAUAGUCUGUGAGUGGAUUUCCCAGUGAGGUUCACAUACCCACUAGUGUAAGAAAGCCGUCUAUUAGAGUACAGGAAGAAAAUAUUAGAACUUCUAUAUAGACUGCUUUCUUUCUAGUCUUUUAAAAUUCUUUAUUUCUGUUACAUAAUGUAAAUAGUAUAUGAGUAGUGUAGUGGAUAUAUGGGCACACCUGGACAUUUCCAGAUUUGGUUCCAGACCACCAUAAUUAAGCCAAUAUUGCAAUAAAGUGAGUCAAAUGAAUUUUAUGUUUGUUACAGUGCAUAUGAAAGUUAUGUUUACACAAGACUAUAGCUAAGUGUGGAAUAACAUUAUGUCUAAGAAAACAACAUAUAUACCUUAAUUAAAAAAUACUUUAUUGCUGGGGCGCCUGGGUGGCUCAGUCAGUUAAGUGUCCAACUCUUGAUUUCGGCUCAGGUCAUGAUCUCAGGUCGUGGGCAUGGAGACUACCUAAGAUGCUCCCUCUCUCUUCUUUCUGCCCUUCCCCUCCCACUCUUUCUCAAAACAACAACAACAACAACAAAAACCAGCCCAAACUUAAUAAAGUGCCAACCAUCAUCUGAGCUUUCUUUGAGUCAUAAUCACUGAUCAUAGAUAACCAUAACAAAUAAAAUAAUAAUGAAAAAGUUUGAAAUAUUGGGAGAAUGACCAAAAUGUGCAUAGAGACACAAAGUGAGCAAAUGCUGUUGGAAAAACGGCACCCAUAGACUGCUCUACGCAGAGUUGCCACGAACGUUCAAUUUGUAAAAAAUGUUGUUUCUGCAAAUUGCAAUAAAAGGAAACAUAUUAAAAUGA